UACGUAGGGUGCAAGCGUUGUCCGGAAUUAUUGGGCGUAAAGAGCUCGUAGGCGGUCCGUCACGUCGGGCGUGAAAACCCAGGGCUCAACCCUGGGCCUGCGUUCGAUACGGGCGGACUUGAGUGUUGCAGGGGAGACUGGAAUUCCUGGUGUAGCGGUGAAAUGCGCAGAUAUCAGGAGGAACACCGGUGGCGAAGGCGGGUCUCUGGGCAACUACUGACGCUGAGGAGCGAAAGCGUGGGGGAGCGAACAGG
rnacentral:rRNA from 1 species